GUCCAUGAGGGGUGUCCUACGGAUAAGUCCUCUGCAUUUCCUAGAGCAGUCUGGGUUACUGUUAACAGUUUGAGCAUGUUUACCUUUUUUUUUUUUUUUUUUUUUGAAAAAAAAAAUGUCUGGAGUGGGAAAUGAGAAUGGAAUGACAGAUAUCUCAGUAAGGAUGCCGUCCUGUUGCUUAGCAGCAGGCAAGAAAGCCAAGAGUGUUUUUUAAAAGUUGGACUUAUAAAUGGAACACCUGCAUCCAGUUUUGAUUGCCUCACUUCAAGAAUGAUAGAGCAUAAAUUGAAAGAAUCUGAAGAAGUGAAAAAACUGAUUAUAGGUUUUGUGGGGAACUAGUAUAUGUCAGUAAUCCACAAGUAUAGUUCAGCAGCUGUUUACUGGCAUAGUGGCUGUGUCAACAGUUUCAAGGACACCUUUGCCUACAUCUUGAUGAACUAGCAUGCAAGAAAAGUAGUUGAUCUUCACUUGUGUUGGAGAAGAGAGUGCCUAUUUUCUUUUUCAUGUGUCAUUUUAGUCUGCAAAGUAAAACCUCAUACCAGCCUACUGAUAAAAGUGCUUUGAUUUUUUUUUUCCACAAAAGACAUGUGAAUUGUCUUUCAGACACACUGUAGUUUGAUUUGGUGCCAUAAUUUUUUUUCUGGCAUACAGAUAUGGUGGUCCCCUAACUGCUUUUUUUUUUAACCUACUUUUAAAACAUAAUGUGUGCUGACAGACACAGUUCAGCUAACAAACGGCCACAGACUAUAAAACCAGGUAAGGGAAUGGCCUUUCUCUUAGCAGAGCAGUUGAUAUUAGUAGGAAGAAAUAAUUUUGUCUGCCUAUGUCAAAUAAUGCAGGCUGCGUUAGCUGUCAUCUAAAAUGUUGUCUAUUUCAGUAGGUUAGUUUAGCUGGUGAACAUGAGGCAGAGGGAUAUUAUGAUUUGAUGCCCAUUUGGUGGCAUUCUUUGGAGAAGGUUUAAGUGGUAUAAACUUGCUGGAGGAAGUAAGUCACUAGGGCUGGGGUUUGAGAGCUUAAAUCUUCGUUCCACUUCCAGUGCUCUCCAUUGCUGUGCUAAACAUCAUAAUCAAAAGUAACUUGCUUAGCAUAUAUAUCCCAUUCACAGUAGGUCUCCGAGAGAAGUUGAGGCAGGACCUGAACCUGGAACCCGGCAGGAGGAACUGCCACAGAAGCCAUGGAGGAAAGUUUUUUACUGGUUUGUUGUCAUGGCUCACUCAGCCUGCUUUUUUAUACUACACAGGACCACCUGCCUAGAGUUGGCACAACCCAUAGUCAUCUGGGCACUCUCACAUCAAUCAUUAGUCAAGAAAUACCUCACAAACUCAUUCAUAGGCUAAUUUAGCUGAAGCAUUUUCUCAAUUUUGAUUCCCUCUUCUCAGAUGACUAUGACUUUUGUCGAGUGAGGAAAAACUUAGGCAGUAUAUCUGACAUGAUAAACUAUGAGUACUGUGAUUAGGAAUAAACCCCUUCUCCCUUAAGUUGCUUUUAUUGAAGUAACAGAAAAAGAAAUUAAGAAAUUAUUACCUAUUCUGUCAUUGGUGAGUCUUAAGGACAAACAAAUGAAAAGACGUGUCUGGUGAGGAUGGAAGGGCACUUAAAGUUAUGUGAAUUAGAGUUCUUAAGACAUCAACCUAAAAGAGGCUAGUGCCUUUUUAUUGAGAGCAUAUCGAUGGUUUAAAACAAUGGAUUAUGACAUUCUCAUACAUGUAUGAACAUACAUAUAUGUACUUUGUUAAAAAAUGCUCCAUUGCCUUCUUUUGUCCCUAUCUCCCCUUUCUGCUGGUCCCCUUUCUCAUAGUUCAUAUAUGCUUUUACGUGUAUUUUUAAAAAUCUAGAUUAUAAAUAUGAGAGAACAGGUCUUUCUGAAUCUGUCUAGUAUAUUUUAUAUGUUAUUAUUUUAUUUAUUUACAUCCCAAAUGUUGCCCCCUCCCAGUUCCCACUUGCAGAGUUCUCCCCCCCCCCCACCAGCCCUCUCCCCUUAGCCCCUCAGAGUUUGCUCCUCCCAGGCAUCUCCCCUCCCUGGGGCAUCAAGUCUCUACUAAUUUAUUACCAUGCUUUCUGGUUCCAUCUAUUUACCUGCAAAUUACUUAAUGCCACUUUUUUUAAAUGGGCAAAUAAUACUACAUUGUACACAUAUGCCACAUUUCCUUUUUCUAUUCAUAAUAGUUCAUAAUUAUCCUGAAUAAUUUAAUAACAUGGCUCUUGUGUCCAUUGUGUGCCUUACCACUUAUUAAUUACCUUCAUUUUAGCUCUUUAUCUUAAGUGUUGGGGCUUGUUAGACUCCUCUCCAACAUGGAUCACCUGUCAAUUGGUGGUGUCAUUAUGUAGGUCUUAUUUAGGUGACCAUAUCAUUGAGAUUUCAUGGGGGAAGCUUUUUCUACUAUAUAUUGAAGAUAGUGUGUCACAGCAGAUAGCAUGGUUCUCUGGAUCUACAAUCUCUCUGUCCCCUCUUCUAUGAUAUUCAGUGAACCAUAGAUAUAGGUAUGUUGCAGAUGUAUCAGUUGGGUUGGGUACCCCUAAGAUUAGUUAUUCUUUGCAUUUUGACCAGUUAUUGAUUUCUAUAAUAGAUCCAAUCUGCUGCAGAAGAAAACAUAUUUGAUGAGGGAUAAGAGCUACUACUAUUUGUGAAUAUAAGGAUAAGUAUUUAAAAUGCACUUAGAAAAUAUACUGGCUUAAGAGAAUGGCACUAUAAAGUUCUUCUCCACAAUCCGGGACCUCAUCAGCCAUGGGCACUUGGCUAGGUAAAUAAUAAUAUUUUGUGAUAUCUCAAUAAAAAGGAAAGAAAUGCUUUCAGAAGAAGAUAUAGUCUUUUGACCAGAGUAUCUUAGCUGGGCAUCACUUAGAUUAGUGGUUCUCAACUUGUGGGCCCCACAAAAGAGGAAGGCAGCCGUGGACUGAGGCUGAGAAGGAGCCUUCACAUGUUGUUGCUAGAAUAUGGUAUUCUAUCUUGAGUCCUUCGCAGUCAGGUACCUUGGGUCCAGGAGAAUAAUGCACGUUGUGGUUUUUGCCUGAUUGCAUUUUGUUUUUCUCUCUGUUCACGACUCUUUUCACUACAUUGUCAUUUACUCCUUUACUUUUAUUGUACCAAUAGUCAUGUGAUCUACAUGAAUAUUUAAUUAUAUAUUUAUAAUUUGGCGCUGCGUUUUGAAACCUAUAGGGGCCAAUACUGGGCCAUUUGAUUCUGAAGCUGCUGAUUUUAUGUAAGUUUUAGGUAGAAUGUAGAAGAACUCUUUCUUUUCUGAACAUAUAUUAUACUAGAUAACAUUUUCUCAGAGUACAGUUUGAUCAUUAUGCAUGGUUCCAGUCACUCCUUAACUUACUGUUUCUCAUAAUAAUUUGACUAGAGUUUGAAAAUUAUAAACUCAUUUAAAAGAGAACAUGAUGCCUUGCAUUUUUAAAGCUACUACUUAAAUUAUUUUAAGUUAUAUGUGCAUCCAUUAAGUAGGUUUUACAGAAGCAUCCAGUAGAAUUUAUGGACUUAGAGUCCUAAAGGAUACUUAGAGCCUUAAAGUGAGUUUUAGAAAACAUUUACUGGACAGAUGUUAUACAGACACUAAGAGAACACAAAUGCCAGCCCAGGCUAAUAUACCCGGCCAAACUCUCAAUUACCAUAGAUGGAGAAACCAAAGUAUUCCACGACAAAUCCAAAUUCACACAAUAUCUUUCCAUGAAUCCAGCCCUUCAAAGGAUAAUAACAGAAAAGAAGCAAUACAAGGACUGAAAUCACGCCCUAGAACAAGCAAGAAAGUAAUCCCUCAACAAACCAAAAAGAAGACAGCCACAAGAACAGAAUGCCAACUCUAAC
rnacentral:lncRNA from 1 species